rnacentral:rRNA from 1 species
CCUACCAAGGCGACGAUCCAUAGCCGGCCUGAGAGGGUGAACGGCCACAUUGGGACUGAGACACGGCCCAGACUCCUACGGGAGGCAGCAUG